rnacentral:rRNA from 1 species
UACGUAGGGGCAAGCGUUGUCCGGAAUCAUUGGGCGUAAAGCGCGCGUAGGCGGUCCGGUAAGUCCGCUCUGAAAGUCCGGGGCUCAACCCCGGGAGGCGGGCGGAUACUGUCGGGCUAGAGUCCGGAAGAGGCGAGUGGAAUUCCUGGUGUAGCGGUGAAGUGCGCAGAUAUCAGGAGGAACACCAAUGGCGAAGGCAGCUCGCUGGGACGGUACUGACGCUGAGGCGCGAAAGCGUGGGGAGCAAACAGG